rnacentral:rRNA from 1 species
CACGUAGGCACCAAGCGUUGUCCGGAUUUAUUGGGCGUAAAGAGCUCGUAGGCGGUUCGGUAAGUCGGGUGUGAAAACUUUGGGCUUAACCCAAAGCGUGCACUCGAUACUGCCAUGACUAGAGUUCGGUAGGGGAGUGGGGAAUUCCUAGUGUAGCGGUGAAAUGCGCAGAUAUCAGGAGGAACACCGGUGGCGAAGGCGGUUCUCUGGGCCUGUACUGACGCUGAGGAACGAAAGCGUGGGGAGCGAACAGG